UGGGAUAAAAAACUUAGUUAACCAUGUUGUAUAAUUGCUUCUAUAUAAGUUGUUUCUACAAUUGAGUGAAUAAUGGAAAACUUCGUAUAAGGUCAAAAUCAGCUGUUUAUAUAAGCUAUUCUAAGGAGACUGAAAAUUUGCUGAAACUAGCUUAUGGGAUCAUGAAUAAACUAUUUCCGUAAGCACUUUCACACACUUACAAUAGUGCUUAUGUCAUUAGAUAAGUCCAAGUACAAUCUUACAAAGACCCCCAUCACAUGAAAGCUAAAAAUUUGUCUGAACCUUAUAGAGCAAGCCUAGGUAUCAGUGCCCUUUCAUGG
rnacentral:lncRNA from 1 species